CUUUGGGAAGAGCGUCACAUCACAGUGAAUAAACAGCCCCUACGUCUAACCCACCGACCCAUGAACUCCCUACAGUGGACGUAUAUGUUCUCUUGUUUGUUUCUUGCCUCUCAUCAUUCUCGUUUUGUUUGUUUUUUUAGCGACGGACACGUGCCAAUCGGUUGAGUUUACGGAUGCAGAUCCAUGUUUAACCGGGGAAGUCGAUCUCGCUGGAAAAAUGCAAUGUAAAGUAUUUGGUCAAACCGUGUUGUGUCUGUCGAAGUCGUUUAUUUGUGACGGAGAGUGCGACUGCGAGAGCGAUUGCCAGGAUGAGCUCGAGGGGAACUGUAAAUGGAAGAACUAAAAGCGACGGACACGUGCCAAUCGUAAAAAGCGAGGAGCGAGCAAGUGGAAUAAAACCACUUAUCCAAAAAAGGAGAGUCUUGAUUUCCCUGUACCUGAACA